rnacentral:rRNA from 1 species
UACGUAGGGCGCAAGCGUUGUCCGGAAUUAUUGGGCGUAAAGAGCUCGUAGGCGGUUUGUCACGUCGGAUGUGAAAGCCCGGGGCUUAACUCCGGGUCUGCAUUCGAUACGGGCAGACUAGAGUGUGGUAGGGGAGAUCGGAAUUCCUGGUGUAGCGGUGGAAUGCGCAGAUAUCAGGAGGAACACCGGUGGCGAAGGCGGUUCUCUGGGCAUUACCUGACGCUGAGGAGCGAAAGCAUGGGGAGCGAACAGG